GCAGAGUAGACCUGUGUGCGUUAAGUGCCGGAUGGACGGGGAGUUGCCAGCCGGACGAAAAGUUUAUCUUGCGGUACACACGUCGCAUCCCGCUGC
rnacentral:ncRNA from 1 species